GAUGAACGCUAGCGACAGGCCUAACACAUGCAAGUCGAGGGGCAUCGCGGUGUAGCAAUACACUGGCGGCGACCGGCGCACGGGUGCGUAACACGUAUACAAUCUGCCUGCAACAUUGGGAUAGCCCGUUGAAAGACGAAUUAAUACCGAAUAAUACAGGGAUACCGCAUGGUAAUAUUUGUUAAAGAUUAAAUCGGUUGCAGAUGAGUAUGCGCAGGAUUAGACAGUUGGUAAGGUAACGGCUUACCAAAUCAACGAUCCUUAGGGGUUCUGAGAGGAAGGUCCCCCACACUGGUACUGAGACACGGACCAGACUCCUACGGGAGGCAGCAGUGAGGAAUAUUGGUCAAUGGGCGAGAGCCUGAACCAGCCAAGUCGCGUGAAGGAAGACGGUAUUAUGUAUUGUAAACUUCUUUUUCAGGGGAAUAAAGUGCAUCAUUGAUGGUGUAUUGCAUGUACCCUGCGAAUAAGCAUCGGCUAACUCCGUGCCAGCAGCCGCGGUAAUACGGAGGAUGCGAGCGUUAUCCGGAUUUAUUGGGUUUAAAGGGUGCGCAGGCGGGCUUUUAAGUCAGCGGUGAAAUUUUGUCGCUUAACGAUAAACUUGCCGUUGAAACUGCGAGUCUUGAGUACAGAUGCGGCAGGCGGAAUGUGUAGUGUAGCGGUGAAAUGCAUAGAUAUUACACAGAACACCGAUUGCGAAGGCAGCUUGCCAAGCUGUAACUGACGCUGAGGCACGAAAGUGUGGGUAUCAAACAGGAUUAGAUACCCUGGUAGUCCACACAGUAAACGAUGAUUACUGACUGUUUGUCUGCACAGAUAAGCGGUUAAGCGAAAGCGUUAAGUAAUCCACCUGGGGAGUACGUCGGCAACGAUGAAACUCAAAGGAAUUGACGGGGGCCCGCACAAGCGGAGGAACAUGUGGUUUAAUUCGAUGAUACGCGAGGAACCUUACCCGGGCUUGAAAUGGAGCGGAAUAGUUUGGAAACAGAUUAGUCAGCAAUGACCGCUUUGUAGGUGCUGCAUGGUUGUCGUCAGCUCGUGCCGUGAGGUGUCGGCUUAAGUGCCAUAACGAGCGCAACCCUUGCCAAUAGUUACCAGCAUUCAGAUGGGGACUCUAUUGGGACUGCCGCCGUAAGGUGUGAGGAAGGUGGGGAUGACGUCAAAUCAGCACGGCCCUUACGUCCGGGGCGACACACGUGUUACAAUGGGUGGUACAGAGGGAAGCUACCAUGCGAGUGGAUGCGAAUCUCUUAAAACCAUUCUCAGUUCGGAUCGGAGUCUGCAACUCGACUCCGUGAAGCUGGAUUCGCUAGUAAUCGCGCAUCAGCCAUGGCGCGGUGAAUACGUUCCCGGGC
rnacentral:rRNA from 1 species